CAGAUUCAGAGCCCCAGCCUGUUCAUAAAAAAAAUCAGAUGAAUUUUGUCUGCGAAACAUUCUGCAAAAAUAUCUGACCAGGAAAGAUAAAUAAGAUGCAAAAAGUCACACACACAGGAAAUGAUUAAUACAAUUUUAUGGCAUCAAAAGAUACCAUUGAUAAAGUAAAACACAAGUCACGAACUGGGGGAAAGAAGAUGAGGUAGCAUCCAAAAUACAUGAAGAAAUCUUGUAAGUCUAUUAAAAGACUAUACGACCUAACAGAAAGAAGCAGCAAAAAUCAUGAAAAGAGCUGGGCAUUGUGGUAUGUGCCUUUAGUCCUAGCUACUCUGGAGGCUGAGGCAGGAGGAUCACUUGAGCCCAGGACUUUGAGGCCACUGUAAGCUAUGAUCAUGCCACUGCACUCCAGCUCAGGAAACAAACAGUAUUUGUUCAACAAACAAAAGAAAAUAAAAGAAUGGUAGACAAGGAAAGCAGUGGAACAGCUAUGCAAGAAGCCUACUUUCUCUUCAUGUAACACGUUGGCCUAAGAGAUCUAUAGAGCUUUUUAAAAACAGAGAAGGCAGCAAGAUUUAAAAUAAUAAAACCAGCAAUAGGUAUUUUUUAAAGUGAGAGAAACUAUCAGAGAGCUGAAGCAGAAAAGCAAGUUAAAAAUAAAGGAAACAGAAAAGGAACUGAUAUAGCUGAUUUGAUACUAGAAAGAUCACCCAGGAGGCAGCACGGAG
rnacentral:antisense_RNA from 1 species